GCCAUCUAGUGUAGAAACAUCAGUUCCCAUAUGAUCUUUGAAAUUAAGCAAUAUAAAGCCUGGUUAGUACCUAGAUGGGCGACUGCUUAGGAAUACCAGGUGCUGUAAG